rnacentral:lncRNA from 1 species
AUCACUGAUGUCGAGUUUCUCUAAAUGCUGAAGAUCACUUGACGAUGAGGGUAAUGAUAGUAGAGAAUAGCAUUUAGAAAUAUUCAGAACACGCAAGUUUUGAAGGCUCCCAAUGGAUUCAGGUAAUGUCACCAAAGAUCUUAGAUUUGAUAGGUUUAAGUCAUGCAGGUUUUUGAGAUCACAUAACGAUGAGGGUAAUGAUUCUAGAGAAUAGCAUUCAGAAACGUUCAGAAUACGCAAGUUUUGAAGGCUCCCAAUAGAUUCAGGUAAUGUCACCAAAGAUUUUAGACACGAUAGGUUUAAGUCAUGCAGGUUUUUGAGAUCACAUAACGAUGAGGGUAAUGAUUUUAGAGAAAAGCUGUUCGAAAGGUCCAGAAUACGCAAGUUUUGAAGGCUCCCAAUGGAUUCAGGUAAUGUCACCAAAGAAUUUAGACACGAUAGGUUUAAGUUACACAGGUUUUUGAGAGCACAUAAUGAUGAGGGUAACCAUUUUAGACAACAGCACCUAGAAAGGUUCAGAACACGCAAGUUUUGAAGGCUCCCAAUGGAUUCAGGUAAUGCCACCAAAGAGUCUAUAUUUGACAGGUCUAGGUAAUGCAGGUUUUUGAGGUGACAUAUAGGUUCAAGUGAUAUCACAUUUUCGCACAAACUCAAAUUUAGUGCGUACAAAUUCUGAAGGUUGCUAAUGGAGGUCAGAGAUAGGCAACCUCCUAAAUCUAAAAUCCGCAAAUUCGUAAGCCUUCCUAGAAAUUUGGGUAGUGUACGGAUCUUGCGGCAGCUUGAAAGAUUCAAGGUUUGCAAGUUGCAGAGGCCGGUAAUUGAUUUAGGCAAUUUUUCUAUAUCGGUCCCCGAAAGGUCGAGGUAUCUUAAGAGCUUCAACUUACCGAUUGAGCUUGGCAGCAUAGAAAUUUUGGAAUCACAUAAUUCCAACAAGCGUAAGCAUUUUGCCUCGCUAUAAAAGGCCAUAAUAAGUGAACUAGAUUCCCUAAACUGAAGAGCUCGCAACCUCCGCUUUACGGUAAUUGAAACAUCUGGCGUGCAACAACUGUGUAUCGAGACAUAGCGGCAGCCUUCCGUGAUCCUUAUCGACUCUUCUCCACCUAUAACAGCAACUUCUUCUUUUGCCACACCUAUAACAGCAACUUCUUCUUUUGCCACAGAUUGUGCGAGGUCGUGCACUAAAUCAUGCAUACGGCAGAUGGUAACAUUUCUAUAAUUUUUCCCCACGUCUUGAAGAAAAGACAUCCAUAAUAAAUUGUUAAAGUACUUAUUCCCAAUAUCUUCCAUCGAAGUCCAUGUUUCUUGCGAUGAAAUGAAGCCUAAAGCAAUCCAUUGCCGGAUCAAGUCAUCCUUGUUAAUCUUGUAGUCCUUGGGGAAUAUGGAGCAGUAAGCAAAGCACUGCUUCAAAGCCGACGGCAUCUGAAUAUAGCUCAAUUUUAAUGAUGGUAAAAUAAUUCUUUCUUCCGACCUCGAUAUUUCGCUUUCUUCCGACCUCCAUAUUUCACUAUCUCUAAUAGCGGACCAUGCAUCCUCUGUCCUGCUCUUAAAGCGCAUCAUACUUCCUAAAGCAUUCGCUGCUAAAGGCAAGCCACCACACUUCUUAACUAUCUGCUUUCCAAUUUCCACCAAAGUCGGAUAGCCGUUCUCUUCCCCUUCCUUGAAUGCCAGCCUUUUGAACAAUGUCCAACAAUCAUCAUCCGAUAAGCCUUUCACACGGUGUGGUUCGACUGUUCCCAUUAUCUCGGCAACCUUUUCGCUUCGUGUGGUUACUAAGAUUUUACUUCCCUGCCUGCCGUCCUUAAAUACAACCUUCAAACCAUUCAAACCAUUCCACUUCUGCUGAUCUUCGUUCCAUACAUCAUCCAACACCAGCAAGAAUCUCUUCUGGCUAAAGAUCCUGUCGAGAAAACUCGAGGCGGAUUCCAAGGUGUCAAGAUUGCACUCCUCUUUGGUUUCGGUUGCGGAUUUGACCGACCUUGCAAUCGUCUUUCUGUCGAAAUCGGUAGACACGCAGAUCCACACCCGUAGAUCGAAGGGCUGCUGGCCCGUAACCCGCCCGUCGGCGAAGGCCAGCCGAGCGAGCGUCGUCUUCCCCAAACCCCCCAAUCCCACGAUCGGAAUGACCGACACGUUGUGAUCGCAGCCCGUCUCCAGCAGUAGCUUCACAAUUUUCUCUUUAUCAUCAUCUCUCCCAACUAUUUCCUUUUCAUCGAAGAGCGAGGAUGUCUCACGGGGCUUGAACUCAGCCUGCCGACCAGGGCCAGCUUCGGCAAGACCGAAAUCAUUUCUUUGUUUCGCUAUCUUACCAAUCUUUUCUCUGAGCUCUUUCAUCCUGUGUGCCAUCUCGCGCUUAAACUUCAGAUGCAUCGGAUUAGCGCGGGACAGAAAUCCACGUACCUUUUCAGCUUCCGUCCGGAUCUCGUCCAGCAGGUCGUCGGCGUCGUAGGCGGCGUCCUUCAGUUNCAGAUUGUGCGAGGUCGUGCACUAAAUCAUGCAUCCGACAGGUGGUAACCUUUCUAUAAUUUUCCUUCACGUCUUGAAGGAAAGACAUCCAUAAUAGAUUGUUAAAGUACUGAUUCCCGAUAUCUUCCGUCGAAGUCCAUGUUUCAUGCGAUGAAAUGAAGCCUAAAGCAAUCCAUUGCCGGAUCAAGUCAUCCUUGUCAAUCUCAUAGUCUUUGGGGAAUAUGAAGCAGUAAGCGAAGCACUGCUUCAAAGCCGACGGCAUCUGAAUGUAGCUCAAUUUUAAUGAUGGUAAAAUAGUUCUUUCUUCCAACCUCCAUAUUUCGCUUUCUUCCAACCUCCAUAUUUCACUUUCUUCAAUAGCGGACCAUGCAUCCUCCGUCCUGUUCUUUGAAUACAUCAUACUUCCUAAAGCAUUCGCUGCUAAAGGCACGCCGCCGCACUUCUUUACUAUCUGCUUUCCGAUUGCGACCAAACUUGGAUAGUCGUUCUCUUCCCCAUCAUCGAAUGCCAGCCUUUUGAACAAUGUCCAACAAUCAUCAUCUGAUAAGCCUUUCACACGGUGUGGUUCGACUGUUUUCAUUAUCGCGGCGACCUUUUCGCUUCGUGUGGUCACUAAGAUUUUACUUCCCUGCUUGCUGUCCUUAAAUAAAUCCUUCAGUUUCUCCCACUUUUCCUGAUCUUCGUUCCAUACAUCGUCCAGCACCAGCAAACAUCUGAUCUGGCUAAAGAUCUUGACAAGGCACCUCGCGAUGGUGUCCAUGUUGUCAAGAUCAUCACAAUUCUCGACAAGGCGCCUCGUGACAUCACAUUUCUGUCGAGCUGCAGUUAUCACCCGCUUUCCAAUUGUCUUCGUGUCGAAAUCGGUAGACACGCAGACCCACGCCCGUAGAUCGAAGCGCUGCUGGCCCGUAACCCGCCCGUCGUUGAAGGCCAGCUGAGCGAGCGUCGUCUUCCCCAAACCCCCCAAUCCCACGAUCGGAAUGACCGACACGUCGUGAUCGCCGUUAGUCUCUAGGAGAAGCUUCACAAUUUUCUCCUUAUCACCAUCUCUCCCUACUAUUCUCUUUUCGUUGACGACCGAGUAUGUGUCAGGGCGUUUGAACUCAGCCUUCCGAACAGGGCCAGCUUCGGCAAGACCGAAAUCAUUUCUUUGUUUCGCGAUCUUACCGAUCUUUUCUCUGAGCUCUUUCAUCCUGUGUGCCAUCUUGACCUUAAACUUCAGAUGCAUCGGAUUAGCGCGGGACAGAAAUCCACGUACCUUUUCAGCUUGCGUCCGGAUCUCGUCCAGCAGGUCGUCGGCGUCGCAGGCGGCGUCCUUCAGUUUGCGCAGCCAGUGGCGCAGAGCGUGGCUCUCCUUCCCAGCGCUGCUCCGCUCCUCGGCGUCGAGAAGCACCGCCUGGAUCGCCGAGAAGUUGCUUCUGAGAUCGUCCGCGUCGUCCUUGAAGCUCCGCAGCAGCCCGAUUUCGUCCCAGAGAGCGGAGCCCAGCUUGCCCAGCACUCCUUUGACCAGAUCGAAUGCGAUCCCCUCCGCCAUUGCUAUUACCAAAGCAGCUAGCUAGCUAUGUGCUUCUUCUCAAUACAAACGUCCUAGCAGAGAAUAUAUGGGGAUGAUAGGUGGUUGCUCCAAUUAUCGUGCUGCUGCUCUGGUAACUACGCUUGGGAAUCGUUGACCAUUUGCACGCUAGUCCCACGAUCGUCUUUAAUUAUCCUAUUGUACAGAUUAUAAAAAUACGUGCUGUUGCUGCGGAUGAUAUAUAGGUGGUUGCUCCAAGCAGCUAGCCAUCUCGUCCCUCAAUGGCUCAAUCGUUGACCUUCACUUAUUUCCUCUUCCGGAGGGGAAAAAAAAAAACGCAAUGGAGAUGUUUCAGAUUUCUGAAAGAUGCUUAAAUGGUAUUAUUUAAGAAAUUAAAAAAGCAUGUUAAAAAGUUUUGAAUUUGAAUAAUUUGAAUCCGGAUUCAAAAAGGAAUAGUGAAUCUUAAGUUGAACCCCAAGAAAUUUUAAUUUUCAGAUCCNCUCAAAUGACUUAUUCAUGAACAGUAAUAUGCAAUAAAGAAAAAAGAGAGAGAGAAAUAAUACAUAUUCAUCCGACAUAGAAGGAGAGGAAUCUGCAUUAGCAGCUUCACUUAGACAAUUCGAAAGUUUUAUCCGAUGACUCCAUUUUGCCAUUCUGUAUCGAAAAAAUCUCCUAAUAUCAUCUAUGGUCUUCUCGAAAGAGGAUAAAAGAGGGCCUUAGACCAAGAACAGUCUCUUUCCUUUUAUAUAAAUAAAUAAAAUUAGGAAGAGUUCAGAAAUUUUGGGAUGCUAUUGGCUAUGAUAAUAAUAAAAAGACUCACUUUCUAAAGUUAAGCUUUCUAUCCUCCUUUAGGCUAUCAACGAAGCUUUAAUAACCAAGAGGUCUUGGCUUUUAUUACAUGCAUACCAUUAUUUAUUUGGAGUUUGAUAGUCAUGGCUAGCUUUUAUUACAUGCAUACCACUAUUUUGUAUUUGGGAGGUGAGAGGGGAGCAGUUUUGGAAGAUGAGAAGGUAGUAGUUUUGGGGAUUCAUUUAGUUUUAUUUCUUUUAUUAUGUUAUAUGUAUGGAGUUACAUGCAUAUAUAUUUAUAUUUCAAAACAGUUUUGGAAAAUGAAGAGGUAGUAGUUUUGGGAUUCAUUUAGUUUUAUUUUUUUUUAUAAAACUUUUAUUAUGUUAUAUGCAUGGAGUUACAUGUAUAUAUAUAUUUAUAUUUCAAACCAUCAUUAAAAACUUUUAUUAUGUUAUAUGCAUGGAGUGACAUGCAUAUAUAUAUUUAUAUUUCAAAUCAUCAUUAAAAAAUAUGAAAAAUCUAAAAAAAGAGAGCUUGCCAUGUCAUCAUUCUUAUUGAGGAUUCAUAUAGAGUUAUAGAUAUAUGCAGAGUGGGUUGGAAUGCUUAUGGAAGCACGGAGCCUCCCGUGCUUCCAAAUUGUUUUCGAUGUUCGGACUUUCGAAUCGACGAUCGGCUCCGUUAGAGUGGAUCUAGAUAUUUGAAAUACCUAGAAAAUAAAUUUUGUGAUUUUUCGAUAUCAUUUGCCUAAUGAUCGAAGAGGUUCAAAAUCAAUAAUUUUAAUGGCCUUGGUGAGCUGUUUGCAAGUUUAACGGUCUAGAAAUAUUCAAAUCACAUGAAAUUUUGAUAGAAAAUUUUUUAUACCAUAUAAAACAAGAUCAAUAACUUUGAUCUAAAUUUUUAAUGUCAUAUCAUCACAUUUUGUGAGAUUUUUAUUUUCAGCCGUUGAUUUUGAGCCCCUUCGAUUACUAGACAAAUGAUAUUGAAAAAUCACAAAAUUUAUUUUCUAGGUACUUCAAAUACUCUAGAUCAAGUCUAACGGAGCCGAUCGUCGAUUCGAAAGCCCCAACAUCGAAAACAAUUUAGAAGCACGGAGGCCUCCGUGCUUCCAUAAGCAUACCAGCCGCACUCUAUACAUGCAUAAAUAUAUGUUAAAUAAAGGUAUAUGAUAAGCAUCUAGUUGGCGAAAAAUUCUAAAAUGCAACGGGUAUAUUGGUGACGUGGCAUAACAAACCAAUCAAAUAUCUUUUUUUAGGGGUAUAUGUCCCAUCAUGAUUGUAAAAAAAUAUCUUUAUUGUAUUUUUGUUUGAAAAGAAGGAAUGUGAUUGGCUUGUUAUUGAUAACGUGGUGCAAAUGUGAUAGUGUAGAAUUCCUCAUGACUAGCUUAAUCGGAGAUGACCCUCGUAUAAUUGAAAGGGCGUAGUUAACAGGGUACCUAAGAGUACCCGGAAAGCGUAAACCCAUUUUUAUCUCUGAUGAUUGUUAUCUAUUGUGCUAUAUAUCUCUUUACUCGUUAUUAAAGAAUAUAUAGUUCAAAAAAAAUACAAAAUAAAAUAAGGGGAUAAAAAAAGUUGCGCCGUCAUAAAUUCUCACGUUCACCUUCACGUUUUAUUUAUUUAUUUAUUUAAAUUUUUCGUUUUUCCUAUUGUUCAUUUUUCGGGAAAACAAACGCGAAAUAAUUAUUUUCUCCAAAGACUUAAGCUGAUAAAUAAUUAUGUUUUUACAUUUCCUCACGUCUAAGUUCGACGUGGAGUUGAAUUAGCCGAGAGAAAAAUUAAUUAGGCUAGGAGCCUGGUAUAACUCAACCUUAGAAUUUUCUUAUUUGAUACCGUGUUAAAUUAUAUGAAACAAUAAUUUUCUUCAAAAACGUAAGUUCAUGGGGAAUAAUGUUUUUAUAUUUUUAUGUUUAACAAUCUAGCAUACAUGUAUCAAUGCCCUAUAAGGAUGCUUUGCUGAAUCCUGGACAGGGGCAGACCUACUGAGAGGCCGACAAUGGUCAUGGCCCCCUCAACUUUUUGAAAAUUACACAAGAGUUCCUAACUAUGACAUAGAAAAAACUUAAAUAUUAUAAAUUUUAGGGGCCAAAGUGAAAUCUUUUUGUAAAAAGUUUGUGCUGGUAUAAUAUAAAUAUAUUAUUUAUUCUCUUUAGUAACCGGAAUUAUUUACAAUUUACAAAGUAGGAUACUCUACAGUCACAAUGCAAAAGAAGGAGGAUGCCUUUCAGAUACAAAGCCACCUGCUGAAUUUCGAACUAAAAGUUGUAGAACUUACACAAAAGGAGGAUGCCUUUCAGAGUCUGCAAAGAGCUUAUAGUCUGUUUAUUGUUUUUAUUUGUUGCUACUCCUUUAUUUUGCUUUUUUAUUUUGCUUUGGUUUUUGUUCACUUUUGUUGUCACUUGAAGUAAAUCCUAAUGCAUCCAAGAUGCAUGUUGAUGGCAGCGAGAGAAAUGAAACUCUAGUAGGAUGAUGAAUCAAAACUUCAUGAAGGAGGAAUUUUUUUUUUAGACAUCAAUGUUAUUAAUCAAUUCUCUUCUAUUUAUGCACUCAUUCCAUUUAUGAUUUUGCAGCUUUACUAUUAUGCAGCUUUUCUUAAACUGUGAAGUGUAUGCCCAAUGAUGAUUCUACAUCAAAAGGCAAAUAUGUACGGAUUGCUUGAGACCAAUUUAGAUGCUAGCGUAGAACUAAAAGCAAUCUUAAAUACUACAGUUAUUUAGAAGUUUUAAGAUUGAAACUGUUUCAAUUUUUAACUUAGCUGCUAUUAGUCUAAACUCGUCAUCCAUCGACACCAAUAUCAGGUACAUCAACAGGAGAAGCAACUGCAGCAACAUCUCAAUUUCAAAAAAAAAAAAAAAUAGUAUUAAAGAGUGUCCAAAAUAAGCUGCUAACUCCAAAACUACUCAGAUUGAAGCAAAGAUCCAUCCAAUACUUAAAAUGUUUUUUUUUUAAAAAAAAACACCUAAUUAACUUGAACCAUUUAUUUGAAUAUUUUUGCAUAACACCUGGCUUGAACCAUUCAAUUAAUUUUUCGACGAAACACCUUGCUUUUGAAGCAUACAUAUCCAACAACGCAUUUCACUACAUAAUGCAUCAAUCCAUAACAAACUAUAAAUAUCACGAAUGGAUCCAUGCGAUACAUAAAUGCACUUGGUAGUUCAUACAUAAACAUCUCUUGCUAAUUAAGGCUUUGUCUCCUUUUUUCGCUCCACAAUUAUAUGCAGCCAUGUUUCUUUCUAUCUAUUGAGAGCUCAAAUUUCCUUUAUCUUAAUCAACCAUAUUCGGAUCUAGGUGUGGGGGGGAUGCUCUGUUCUUCACGACGAAGAAAGACCCCCCGCUUUGCAGAGGUCAUAUUGUUGUUGUUGUUGUUGUGUGUCUUAUUUUUGGGGAUAAAAGUGUAUGUAAUAAAUCUGAAAGUUUUGUCAUUUAAAAUUAAUUACCUAAUAUUUAAAAACUUUAAAUUAAUUUUACUCCCUAUUCUUUAAACGCUUUACAAUUUUGUUUUAUCAAAAAUCACUGCCCACACCUGGUGCAUCCAAACAGGUGUGCACCAGGGUUUUAUUCAUCCUUCAUUUUUUUCUUAUUUUAUUCCAGCCAUUUUAAUUUGUAAGUAUAAAAAAUUACAGACUUUGUUUGUGGCACCUGGUGGUUAGAAGCAAUAUUUCUAUAUUUUGAAUGGUCCAAAAACUUAGCUUUAAAGCCCUUUUAAUCUAUCCUCCUCUGAAGCUAUAAAAUUGUGUUUAAUUAUUACUGAAGAAACUAUGCGGUUAUAUUUGUGCGAUACCUUAAUAUUUCAUCCAUAUGUUUGAUUUUCAUAGAAUAUUUUUUCCGAUUGUUACAUUGAAAAUAUAGUAUACACCAAGGAUCAAUUAUGGCAUACUGUAUUUUCUAAAGGAAAAAAAAAAAGAAAAAAAAAGGCAGAGUGCACAUGCACUGGGUAUAUAAUUGGCAAUAAUUUCAUGAAACUCAAAUCAGAAAGAAUAGACAACAAAUCAAAAAAUUUUAAAAAUUUCACGGUUAUAUUUCCAAUAAAAUAAAAUUUAAGUUAAUUUCGUACAAUUUUCCUUUUUGUACUGUUGGUCCCAAAUGUUAGGUACUCGAAAAUGCUUUAUGGCAAUAAUAAUAAUAAUGAUAAUUUAACAUAUUUUGAAGUAAAUAUCUCUUUUAAUUUUCCGGAUUUCCUGAAUAAAAAGUAAAAAUUUAUAUAACUUACCCCAACUGUCAGUUAUUUUAAUAUAAUUAUCUAAUCUUUAAAAAAUUUAAUUUGCUAUAUAAUCUUUUAAUUUAUUUGAUUUAAAUCAAACUAAUGACUCUUUAGUUUUAAAAUUUAAACAUAUUUUUAAUUACGCAGAUAUAAAUUUAUGAAAAUGAAUAAUUAUUCUAAAUUUUAUAUUGAGAAAGAAAUCAAAUCACUUAAAUCAAACAAAUUAAAAUGUGCAACAGCAUAAAUCGAUAUUUCCAUUUAUACCACAUGUUUUGUGAAAACCUAACCGGAAAACAGCUCACUUCCGUUGACUCAGUUUGAUUUUAGUAAUAAAUUGAUUUCGGAUUUGGGGAAUUAAAAACUAAAAAUCUCGCGAAAAGCAAAAUAAUAAAAUUUUAGUACUUCAAUAUAUAUCAGCUUCAGAUCCAAUCAAAUAAAAGAAAGGGCUUUUUUUGCAAAUAGCCCCCUCACAAAUAUUUAUUUUAAAAUUGGUCCUGUCAAAAUUUAAUUUGCAAAAAUGAUCCUGAUCCUGCCACGCAAGCGCCACCUCAGCGCCACGCGGGCGGGGCUGGGCCAGGUGUUUAAGUUAAACACGGUGAAUUAUUCACCGUGUCCAAUACAAAUAGGUAUUUGUAUUAGACACGGUGAAUGAUUCACCGUGUCCAACAUAAAUAGGUAUUUGUAUUGGACACGGUGAAUGGUUCACCGUGUCCAAUACAACUAUUUGGGACUUGGCCAUUUUUUGGCUAAGUAGGUAUUUGUAUUGGACACGGUAAAUGAUUCACCGUGUUCAACAUUGCCCCAACCCCGCCUGCGUGGCGCUGACGUGGCGCCCAUGUGGAAGGGACAAGGCCAUUUUUGCAAUUUAAAUUUUGACAGGGCCAUUUUUGAAAUAAAAUUUUUUCAGGAGGCUAUUUGCAAAAAAAAGCCCUAAAAGAAAUGAUAAAAUAAAAAUAAAAAUGUAUGGAAACCCUCUCAAGUGCAGUAUAUAUAUAUAUAUAUAUAUAUAUAUAGAGUUGAGCUAGAAUACUCUCGAUAGUAAACAGGGUGUUUUACUAUCGAGUUGUUUUCGAUGAUAGAGCUUCCANUCUAACUUUUCGCCAUGUUUAUUAUAUUAAAUCCUUAUAGAAUUCAAAAGGAUACUUUAACCUUUUUGAUAAAAUAUUUUAAAAUUUAAUAAAAAAAUAUUUUUUUAUUUUAUGAAACAUUUUGCACUUCGUUUAACGGAAGAGACUAAAUUCUAAAAGGAUCUAACAAAUCUUCCAAAGAAAAUUUCUUAUAUCAAAAUCGAAUUAAAAUCGAAAUUCAUAAAGCCCAAUUGGCCACUUUCAAAGUGCAGUGUAAUUUAGAUAAUAUAUAAUAUCUUUUUACCUCCGGAUAAUAGCUAGGUACAUAUACUUGUGCUCUCCUCGCUAACCAAUCUUCUUCUCCACCUUCACUGAGCUCUCUUCCUCCUGUGGCGAGCUGCUCGCUUGUUUUUUGUACCAGUAAGAACUACACCACAACAACACAAAAUGGUUAUUUUUUAUCCGACGCUCAUGCAACAUGUGCUGUACAUUUUACUUAGACAUUUUAAUAAUGUAUGAUAUAUAAGAUACCUAAUUUCAAUUUGUAAAGAAAAAUAUCCCAGAAUUCAAAUAGUAUAUCAACAAUAUCACCGAAAAUAAUUACUUUGUAAAUACUAUAUAUCGUUCAAGUAGAAAUUUUCUGGCAUCUCAAAUCGCUACAAAUUAAGAAAAGAUUAGAAUUUCAUUAAUUAGUCUAUGCACAUGCAAGAGACCACUUGAAAAUUUUUCCAGGAAACCAACCAUGUUUUCGAAUAUCUGAAUUGCACUUUUGAUAUUGAAAUGUAGUUUAAUGUGUUUUCAUUUUGCCGCAGUACGUUUUAAAUAGUUUUACUUGAAAAUCCUAUGAUUUUAUAUAUAUAUAUAUAUAUAUAUAUAUAUAUAUAUNUUUUAUUUUGCUUUGGUUUUUGUUCACUUUUGUUGUCACUUGAAGUAAAUCCUAAUGCAUCCAAGAUGCAUGUUGAUGGCAGCGAGAGAAAUGAAGCGAGUAGGAUGAUGACUCAAAACUUCAUGAAGGAGAAAUUUUUUUUAGACAUCAAUGUUAUUAAUCAAUUAAUUCUCUUCUAUUUAUGCACUCAUUCUAUUUAUGAUUUUGCAGCUUUACUAUUAUGCAGCUUUUCUUAAACUGUGAAGUGUAUGCCCAAUGAUGAUUCUCCAUCAAAAGGCAAAUAUGUACGGAUUGCUUGAGACCAAUUUAGAUGCUGAGCUAAAACUAAAAGCAAUCUUAAAUACUAUUAUUAUUUAGAAGUUUUAAGAUUGAAACUGUUUCAAUUUUUAACUUAGCUGCUAUUGGUCUAAACUCAUCAUUCAAAGACACCAGUAGCAUCACCCAGUACAUCAACAAGAGGAGCAACUGUAGUAACAACUCUAUUUCAAAAAAUAAUAUUACAAAGUAUCCAAAACAAGCUGUUUACUUCAAAACUGCUCAGAUUGAAGCAAAGAUCCAUCCAAUACUUAACAAGUAUUUUUUUAAAAAAAACCCUAACUUGAACCAGAAUCUUUUGGCAACACACCUAGCUUAAACCAUUCGAUUAAUUUUUUGGCGAAACACCUAGCUUUUGAAGCAUACGUACACAUUGCACUGUUUAAUGCAUUCAUAACAAACUGCAAAUAUCACUAAUGAAUCCAAACAGUACAGGUAGGAAAGUAUAACCGUUACCAAGUUACCAUACAUAAAUGCACUUGUUAAUUUAUCGUACAUAAAACAUCUCUUGCUAAUUAAGGUUUUAUCACCUUUUUUAUUUUAAAAAAGCCUUUGCUCCACAAUUGUAUGCAGCAAGUUUUUGUUCUAUCUAUUGGAGAGCCAAAAUUUUCUCUCUUAAUCAACUAAAAUCGUAUCUUGGUGCACGGGAUGCCCUGUUCUUUAUGAGAAAGAAAGACCCUCUUUGCAGUGGUCAUGUUGUUGUUGUUGUUGCUGUGUUUUAUUUUUGGGUAUAAAAAUGUACUUAAUUAAUCUGAACUUUCAUAAUUUGAAAUUAAUUAUCUAAUAUUUAAAAAUUUAAAUUAAUUUGACUAUCUAUUCUUUAACGCUUUACGAUUUUGUUUUAUGAAAAAUCACUGCCUACACCUGGUGCAUCCAAACAGGUGUGCACCAAGGUUUUAUUCAUCCUUAAUAUUUUCUCUUUAUUUUAUUUCAUUCAUUUAAUUCGUAAGUAUAAAAAAUUGCAACUAACCCGACUUUCUUUAGGAACGUAGUGGUAAGAAGCAACAUUUUCAUAUUUUGAAAGGUCAAAAAAUUUUAAAGCUGCUUCUAAUCUUUUCUCCUCCGAAGCUAUAAAAUUGUGCUUAAUUGUUAUUAAAGAACUAUGCGGUUAUAUUUAUGCGAUACUUUAAUAUUUUAUCCACAUAUUUAAUUUUUAUAGCAUUUUUUUUUUCCCGGUUGUUAAGCUGAAACUAUAGUAUAAAUCAAGGAUCAAUUAAUAGUAAUAAUAAUAAUAAUAAUAAUAAUAAUAAUAAUAAUAGUUUAACAUAUUUUGAAGUAAAUACCUCUUUUAAUUUUCUAGAUUUCUUGGAUAAAAAAGUNAAUAAUAAUAAUAAUAAUAAUAGUUUAACAUAUUUUGAAGUAAAUACCUCUUUUAAUUUUCUAGAUUUCUUGGAUAAAAAAGUCUAAAUUUAUAUAACUUGCCCCGACUGUCAGUUAUUUUAAUCUGAUUAUCUAAUUUUAAAAAAUUUCAAUUUUGCUACAUAAUCUUUUAAUUUAUUUGAUUUGAAUCAACUAAUGAUUCUUUAGCUUUAAAAUUUUAAAUGUAUUUUUAAUUAUGCAAAUAUAAAUUUAUUAAAAUAAAUAAUUAUUCUAAAUUUUAUAUUAAAAAAGUAAUCAAAUCGCUUAAAUCAAAUAAAUUAAAUUGUGCGGCAACAUAAAUCUAUAUUCCCAUUUAAACCACACGUUUCGUAAAACCAAACGGGAAAAGCACCUCAAGUUUGAUUUUAGUAAUAAAUUGAUUUCAAAUUUGGGGAAUUAAAAACUAAAAAUCUUGCGAAAAGAAAAUUAAUAAAAUUUUAGUACUUCAAAAUAUAUCAUCUUUGGAUCCAAUCAAAUAAAAAAAAUGAUAAAAUUAAAAUAAAAAUGUAUGGAAACUCUCUCAACUGCGGUACAUAUCUAAUAGGUUCAACUUGCAUGCAAAAAGAACCUCUAAUUCAACAAGGGCAUAACAUACACAAUGUAUACAUACUAGUAAUAAACUCAUUUACUAAAAAUUAAUGUACCCUUUAAUAUCCGUAUUAAGAAAUAGCAACAUUUUGUUUAUUCAAACCAAACAAUCUUUUUUAGGCUCAUAACAUGUAUAGAGAACACUAUAAAAUUACAAACAAUCAAACCAAAUUACAAUUCUUGUCCGGAAAGCUAAAUAGCACCAACUUGAAAGAGAAGGCCACAAGUCCAUGAAUAAAAACUCUCACCGGUGCAUGUAGAUAUAUAAAAUUUGUUUUUUUCUGGAAAAAAAAGGGGAAAAAAAAAAGCUCUUCUCAAAGGGAAAUAGUGGUCACCAAAUAAGCUGAAAGAGAAUUAUUUUUAUGUGAGCUAUACUACACUUUGAGAUAAAUAACUGAACUUCAAAAAAUUUAAUUCUACUCUCUAACUUUUCUCCAUGUUUAUUAUAUUAAAUCCUUAUAGAAUGCAAAAGGAUACUUUAACCUUUUUGAUAAAAUAUUUUAAAAUUUAAUAAAAAAAUAUUUUUUUAUUUUAUGAAACAUUCUGCACUUCGUUUAACGGAAGAGUAAAGGAUCUAACAAAUCUUUCAAAGAAAAUUUCUUAUAUAAAAAUCGAAUUAAAAUCGAAAUUCAUAAAGCCCAAUUGGCCACUUUCAAAGUGCAGUGCAAUUUAGAUAAUAUCUAAUAUCUUUUUACCUCCAGAUAANACACACACACACACACACACACACACACACAUAAUAGGUCCAUCUUGCAUGCAUGCAAAAAAGAACCUCUAUUUAAACAAGGGCAUAACAUACACAAUAUACUAGUAAUAAACUCACUUACUAAAAAUUAAUGUACCCUUUAAUAUCCGUAUUAAAAAAGUAGCAACAUUUUGUUUAUUCAAACCAAACAAUCUUUUUUAAGCUCAUAAUUGUGUAGAGAACACCAUAAAAUUACAAACAAUCAAACCAUAUCAUAAAAUAGUACAUUCAGAAAUUUAAUUUAUAUCACGAAAAUACAUAUAUAUAUUAACCGACAAUAGCACACUACAACUCUUGUCCGGCAAGCUAAACAACACCAACCUGAAAGAGAAAACCACAAGUCCAUGAAUAAAAACUCUCACCAUUGCAUGUAGAUAUAUAAAAUUUGUUUAUUUUUGGCAAAACUAAGAAAAAAAAACCUCUUCUCAAAGGGGAAUAGCGGUCACCAAAGAAACUAAAAGAGAAUAAUCCUUACGUGAGCUAUACUACGCUUUGAGAUAAAUAACUGAACUUUAAAAAAUUUAAUUCUACUCUCUAACUUUCCGUCAUGUUUAUUAUGUUCCUUAUAGAAUUCGAAAGAAUACUUAGCAUUUUUUGAUAAAACAUUUUAAAAUUUGAUAAAAAAAUAUUUUUUAUUGUAUGAAAUAUUUUGCACUUUGUUUAAUGGAAGAGACUAAAUUUUAAAAGAAUCUACAAAUCUUUCGAAGAAAAUUUCUUUUAUCAAAAUGAGCAUAUAUAAGGUUUACGAAUUAAAAUCGAAAUUCGUAAAGCCCAGUUGCCCGCUUUCAAAGUGCAGUAUAGUUUAUGUAAUAUUUAAUAUCUUUUUACCUCCAAAUAAUAGGAACAUAUACUUAUGCUCUCCUCGCUAAUCAAUUCGAUCUGCUCCAACAAUUCCUCCAACUCUUCUUCUCCUCCUCUGACGAGCUGCUCACUAUGUCCUCAUAUCGGUAUUCCCUGCACCACAACAACGCAAAAUAGUAAAUUUUUUAUCCGAAGCUCGUGCAGCACGUGCUGUACAUUUUUCUUACACUUUCUAAUAAUGCAUGAUAUAUAAAAUACCUGAUUUCAAUUUGUAAAGAAAAAUAUUCCAGGACUCGAAUAGUGUAUCAACAAUAUGAUAGAAAAUGAUUACUCGGUAAAUACUAUAUAUCUUUUAAGUAGAAAUUUUCGGCAUCUCAAAUCGCUACAAAUUAAGAAAAGAUUAAAAUUUCAUUAUUUAGCCUAUAGACGUGCAAGAGACCGCUUGCAAAUUUUUUCAGGCAACAAACCAUGUUUUCGAAUAUCUUAGCUCCACUUUCACAUAGUUGAUAUUGAAACUGUGCAACAGCAAGCUGCUAUUGUUUCAAUUGUACAAAUUAGUAAAGUUGCAAUUGCUGCAAAAUUUGUGGAAAGAUAAUUCCCUCGUGUAAUCUAUGAACUACUUGUACAAGUAAAAUAUUUUGUUGAAUAGUAAUUUAGCAUAUCAAAACAGGAAGGAAUAAGAACAGGGUAAAACUAAACUUAAAAAUUAGAAUCACUCUGAAUAUAAAUAAAACAAAAUCUCACAAAUACAUAAAUGGAAGGUAGAAAUCAAAAUUAAUUCUCGAGAAAGUGAGGAUUGGAGAUUGUGACUAGCGAAUGGUNUUUUUUAUCCGACGCUCGUGCAACAUGUGCUGGACAUUUUGCUUAGACAUUUUAAUAAUGUAUGAUAUAUAAGAUACCUAAUUUCAAUUUGUAAAGAAAAAUAUCCAAGGACUCGAAAAUAAUUACUUUGUAAAUACUAUAUAUCGUUCAAGUAGAAAUUUUCUGGCAUUUCAAAUCGCUACAAAUUAAGAAAAGAUUAAAAUUUCAUUAAUUAGUCUAUGCACAUGCAAGAGACAACUUGAAAAUUUUUCCACGAAACCAACCAUGUUUUCGAAUAUCUUAAUUGCACUUUUGAUAUUGAAAUGUAGUUUAAUGUGUUUUAAUUUUGCCUCACUACGUUUUAAAUAGUUUUACUUGAAAAUCCUAUGAUUUUAUAUAUUUUUAGCAAGAACUUGCGGUCAAGUAAAAACUAAAGUGCUAAAAUUAUUUAUAAACUAUGGGAUAAUAAAAUGAUAUAUUUUAUAAAAUAAAAGGUGUCCGCCUAUAUCUAAAUAUAUUCUUUCAAAUAGUACUAUUAUGCUUUAUAAAAUAUACUACUUUACUAUCUUAUAAUUUAUAAAUUUUAGUACUUCAAUAUUUUUUGAUAGUAAGUCCUUACGGUGGAAUAAAGACACAACAAUAAAAUAGCAAAGUGAAAUAUUUUAUAGCAAAUGAAAAUGCACCGAGCCACGUCGGGGUGGGGCUAACCGAAGUUUUUCCAUCUGGAUUUAAAAAUAAAAAUUAAAGAAAGAGGUUGAUAUGCUAGCUACAAUAGAAUAUUAAGGUGCUAUCCAGCUAAUUAAUUAAAGAGUAGUCAAAAUAUGCUGCAUAAAUGAAACAAGAAAUAUUCACCAGUAGCUAUUAGAAGGGACUAUUAUUUUUUACUAGAAAUAUAAUAUUUUCUCUUUGAAUAUUCGUAUCUGCUGGCCAUGAAAACUUUCACCAGGUAUCAAUUACAACAAUUUGGAUAAAAGGCCGUGAAGCAAAGAAAAAUUCGGCGAAUUGGGGGUCAGGAGAACCAAAGAAUGCUGAGGCCACAAGGAGAUUGGAAGAAAAAGAAGGCCGUGAAGCGAGUGGUCUGGGCAGAUGAAGUCGGUAGGGAGUUAUUGGUGAGCAAGGUUCCCAUUAAUGGCGGAGUUUCGACGUUACCUGAUACUACAAGUUCCUUGGCUCGAGACGCACUUGAAGGAGUUACUGCUGAGUUACAAAGAGGAUACGGGGUAGGUGAGGGCGAUUCACCUGGCGAUCCUUGGAUGAGAAAUGUAAGGAGGGUGGGUGGAAGGUCCAAUUCUGUAUUUACUGAGGGUAGGUCCUAUAAAGAGGCGCUUCUGAGGGGUUCGGGACCACAACCCUCCAAGCCACCACCAAGUUCACAACACUCUUCCACCUUCUGGAGUACGAGGAGUAGCAAGUCCAGGAGAAGUGGCGGCAAGUGUUUCCGGUGCCUUGCUUCGGAUCACUGGGUAGCUGACUGCCGUGACCCUAUCAAGUGCAUCAGGUGCCACAAGUAUGGGCAUCGCGCCUCUAUCUGCAAGGAGAAAGCCGGACCAACUAGAGACAGGAUGAACAGGAUUCUACAGAGGCGAGAACGUACGCCGAGAGUGUACGUCCCUUAUACUCAAGAGUUUCUGCAAAGGAGGGAUCAACGCCGGAACGCGGUGCUGGCCGAUGUGAUCCAGCCGGCGAACUUAGGCCCUGAACCCACCUCUACCAUUGCCAAUGCGCUCGCCCGAAGGUUCGGGGGCUACACCCAAGACUUUCCGGUCUCCCGUUUUCGGGAGCGAGACUUUGCAAUUUUCCUCCCAGAAUGGGUGUCAGCGGAGGUGAUCGCUAGGAGGGAAAUACUCACCUUGGACGGCUUCUGGCUGCGAUGUUUUGCGUGGGGUCCUUACCGAGACGCGUGCCCACACCGAAUGGUAUAUCGAGCGUGGAUCAGGCUGAUUAACCUCCCAUUUGAAUGCUGGACCGUCCCUCAGGUGGCGGCGAUUGUGUGUGGGUUCGGAAGGUUCGUCAAGGCCGACGAGGUGACGAAGGCGAUGACGGACCUUCGGGCUUUCCGCUGCCAGAUUAUCCUGGACACACUGACCGACAUCCCGCAAAAUCUGUCGAUCGUCCUCGGAGAGGAACGUUUCCCGGUGAUGAUUCAUCUUGAAAGUUGGGAGCGGGCCAUCGACAAAGCUCGCGGUGACCCACCUGGCCCACCACCGGGGGGAAACGGCGAUGGCAACCAACAGGGUGAGGGGGAUCGGCCUGACAUUCAGGCCAACAUCGACCAAGAGAUGAACGAGGAAGCAACUGGUGAGGACGAAGGCGAGAUUGACGAUGACGGACCAGUAACUGCGCCGAGUCGACGUACAUCAAGCGGACUAGAGAAGCCGACAACCCUGUGUUCUCUGCCGUUCCGACGCUCCUCGCUUGGGCUGUUCGGGCCGCCUGCGCCGAGCCGCCGUUUAUCGGGUGGACCAGAGAAGCCAACACCGCAGUAUACUCUGCUGAUUCGGCGCCCCUCGCCUGGGCUGUUCGGGCAGGCGGUGACGACUGAACGGCGAGGGGGGGGAGCGGGCUGAGGUUGAUGAGGUCCGGAGGGGGCAGGCAGAGGUUGACGAGGGCGGAUCUGAGAAUAGGCCGAACCGCCGAUCGUCAGGUGGAUCUGAGGAGUCGCCGCCGCUGCGUUCGCCUGGGCUAGUAGGGCGGGCGGGGAGGCCUGGAACUCCUGUUUGGUCGCGCCAUCCACAGUGUUCUUCGCAAUGCUCCCCGCCUGCUCGGCGACCGCCGGUGAGGGCGCUAGGCUGGCUUCGGGACUGGCGAGUGCGAGGACCGAGGAGGGCCAGUGCAGGGCGCGUCAACCUAGGGCGCCGCCUGGGCGAUGGAUCAUGAAAUCCGGCGCUGUCUCACAGAGGGGAUUCGAAGGGAUGGGUGUAGUUCACUGUAUUCGGGGUCUUUCCCCACCCUUGCCAAAUUUAAUUAUGGCAGGGGUAGGGUCGGAUAGCUAUGAGAUGGGUAGGCCUUUAAUGCUUUGUAGGGGAGAUCAAGUGCUUCUGUGGGUAGGGGGAGCUCUUUUCAAAGUGGUGGUCAGCCCUUCUUUGGGAUUGCGUACCAACCUUGAGAACUGGGCCUCCUCUAUUGGGGUCAACAGGGGUGCAUUGCCAGCUAGUACACCGGGUGUUGGGGUGGCGGCCCACGACUCGAGCCUGGGGCUCGUGGACUGGUUCGUGACGACUGGAGGAGAUCAGAAUGGCCAAAGCUCUGUCCUUGGCGAGUGCACUAAGUCGUUGACUGAGGAAGGGGACGAAGCUGACCAUGCCAAGGAAAAGAGGUCCAACGGCUGGGAAGGGAUCUGGGCCUACUCCGGGAAAGGGUUAACCUCGUCGCCGAAGAAGACUUUAAUCACCCCUACUCGAGCUAGUGAGCGGCUCGCCUGUGCUGACAGGAUCCCUAUCCUUCGCAAAGCUCUAAACAGGAAGAAGCGGCUUCUAGAAGGAGGAGGUGGCAGGGUCUCCGAGAGCACGCUGCGGAAGAUAGUGCAUAAGAGCAAGCGUUGCGGGGUGAGACUGGACGGAACGGAGGCGAUGAACUUCGCCGAGUUUGAGAGCUUCUGAGCUCUGGAAGGGGCUAGUGGUCUAGGUUGUGGACACCUUUUGGUUUUAUUUUGGGAGUCGUGUCUACGUUAUUGUUAUGCUUAGUAUCUGUAGCUGGAAUGUUAGAGGGCUUAAUGAUCCCUCCAAACGCUUUGUGGUGCGGGAUGUAAUUUCGAAUUUACGCAACUCCGUAGUGUGUCUCCAGGAAUCUAAGGUUAAUCAUGUUUCGGGGUCUUUCCUCCGUAGCUUGGCAGGGUCCUUCAUCGACAAAUGUGUUUUUCUUGAAUCUAACGGUGCGUCCGACGGACUGAUUACUUGUUGGAGUUCCCGGGUCUUCAGUUGUAAAGAAGUAAUCGUCAGAAACUAUUCCAUCUCGGUUCUAUUGGAAUUGGUUAGCUGCGGAACACGUUUUUUUGUCACGAAUGUUUAUGGCCCGGCUUCUUGGGACGGCAAGGAGGACUUCUUUUCGGAAUUAUUGCUCUUGAAGGACUGUUGUAAGGGUAAAUGGGUAACGUGUGGGGAUUUUAAUUGUACGCGAGGACCACACGAGCGUAACGGAAAGACCUGGAGCUCGAGAGCGACGGUUUUAUUUAACAAUCUCAUCAGGGACCUCGAAUUAAUUGAUCUCCCCAUGACAAAUCAAGCGUUCACCUGGUCCAACCUUCAGAAGCCCCCGACCUUGGCUAGACUGGACCGAUUUCAUGUGUCAACUGAUUGGGAUCAGGAAUUUCCUUCUUCAAAAGUUAUCGGUCUCCCCAGAGUGGCCUCAGAUCACAGUCCCAUCCUUUUAUCGGUCACCAACCCUACGAAGAGGACGAGAUUGAUUUUCCGUUUUGAACAUGCCUGGCUUAACCACGAGGACUUUAGGUCCAAGCUGCCAGGAUGGUGGGAGGAGGGGCGUAAGCAUAGUUCAGCUGUUCUAACUUUCACCGCAAAAUUGAGACACUGCCGUAGAAGAAUUAUACAAUGGUGUACCCACGAAUUCUAUAGCAUUAGACGAGUUAAGAACAAACUCUUGGAAGACAUUCAGAACAUCGACAAAGAGAAAGAAACGAAUCUUUUAACCCAGGAGUUAGCCGUUACGAGGGAUGAGCUUAAGACAAAACUUGCCGCGGUGCUUAAAGACGAGGAAGUGCUAUGGAAAAGCAGAGCGAAACAACAUUGGCUACGGGAAGGUGAUAGCAAUACCAAAUUCUUCCAUGCCGUAGCCAACGGCCACAAAAGAACGAAUAGAAUUGACACUCUAGAUGAAGAAGGAAGGGUGUAUCAAUCGGAAGGCGAGAAGCAGAAGUUAAUCUUACAGAAGUUUAAGAAUCUCUUCACCCCUGAAGACUGGGCACCAUCCUCUUUUGGAGAUUGGAGUGAGCUCUUUUCAACAAGGCGGGUCGACUCUAGUAACCAUACGCACAUUACGAGACCUUUCGGUGUUGAAGAAGUGAAACAGGCUGUUUUCCAGCUAGGACGUGAUAAGGCGCCAGGGCCAGAUGGGUUCCCUCUGUGCUUCUACCAAAGCUUUUGGGAUACUCUUAAGGACGAUAUCAUGAACAUUUUCCACGAGAUGUUUGAGGGCACGCUAAACACCGNAGAUUCUCCUUGCUUGUUCUGUGAAUGGCCAGAUACGCAACCGACGCCGGGAGGCAAGGCUCUGGGCUGAACUGAGGACAUUCAUAUAGAAUCAAGUUAGCGAGACACGGAAAAAGGGGAACUCGCUCUCGCCUGCCUUCUUCGUCAUCCACCGUCAUUACCGUCACCCAUUCUCGCAGCAUUGGCAUGGAGCACAAGUCAAGGCUCGUCAGGGCAGGGAACUUACCUACGCCGCCCCCGCCCAAAUUUGUUACUGCGGGCAUAUUUUCCAUAUAUAGUCGUUCAAGAAAAGGGAGUUGCCCCAGCGGCGGGAGUGAGCUGCAUACAGGAAUAUUAUCAAGUUUGAUUUCAACGAGAUUUGGGAGGCACGAGCCAAUCCUAUUCAUCAUCCAGCUAGGAAACUUCCCGCCUCCAUAGCCUUGUAUUUCCAAUUUCUCUAGCUUUUGAUGUGGUUGAAGAUUUUCUAGCACGGUUUCCAUCUCUUCCGCCGGUUGUACAGUACUAUCCGUGCCUUCUUCCGCACUUAAAACGUUCCAUACCAACUUCAAAGACCGCAGGUUCUUCUCUAUCAAAUUUGCAGCCUUGGCAUCAACCGGACUCGUUACAUUUUCGAGACCCUUGAUCCACAGCUCGUCGACAAGCUUCAAGUGCUCUAGCUCAGAAAUGCUAGCACAGUGUUCGACGCGGUCUUGCUUGCCAACCACAAAAACCGGUAAUUUCUGCAAGCUAACUAACUUGCCGAUCCCUCGAGGCAUGCCCUUCAAUUCCGAGCAAUUGUUGUUUAGCAAGACUCUAAGUUUGGUCAGCUUUUGGAUCAUUUUAGGCAGCUCACAUAAUUUUUCACAACCACUGAUGUCGAGUUUCUCUAAAUGCAGAAGAUCACUUGACGAUGAGGGUAAUGGUAGUAGGGAAUAGCACCCAGAAAGGUUCAGAAUACGCAAGUUUUGAAGGCUUCCAAUGGAUUCAGGUAAUGUCACCAAAGAAUUUAGACAGUAUAGGUUUAAGUCAUGCAGGUUUUUGAGAUCACAUAACGAUGAGGGUAAUGAUUCUAGAGAAGAGCAGUUAGAAAGGUCCAGAAUACGCAAGUUUUGAAGGCUCCCAAUGGAUUCAGGUAAUGCUGCAAAAGAAUCUAGAUGUGAUAGGUCUAGGUAAUGCAGGUUUUUGAGGUGACAUAUAGGUUCAAGUGAUAUCGCCUUUUUGCACGAACUCAAAUUUAGUGCGUGCAAAUUCUGAAGGUUGCUAAUGGAGUCAAGUAUUGUCAGAGACCUGCACUCGCUUAAAUCUAAAAUCCGCAAAUUCGUAAGCCUUCCUAGAGAUUUGGGUAAUAUACGGAUCUCGCGGCACCAUGAAAGAUUCAAGGUUUGCAAGUUGCAGAGGCUGGUAAUUGGUUCAGGCAGUUCUUGUAUAUUGGUCGAUGAAAGGUUGAGGUAUCUUAAGAGUUUCAACUUACCG